rnacentral:rRNA from 1 species
GACGAACGCUGGCGGCGUGCUUAACACAUGCAAGUCGAACGGAAAGGCCCCCUUGUGGGGUACUCGAGUGGCGAACGGGUGAGUAACACGUGAGUAACCUACCCUUGACUUUGGGAUAACUUCAGGAAACUGGGGCUAAUACCGGAUAGGAGCUCCUGCUGCAUGGUGGGGGUUGGAAAGGUUCGGCGGUUGGGGAUGGUCUCGCGGCUUAUCAGCUUGUUGGUGGGGUAGUGGCUCACCAAGGCAUUGACGGGUAGCCGGCCUGAGAGGGUGACCGGCCACAUUGGGACUGAGAUACGGCCCAGACUCCUACGGGAGGCAGCAGUGGGGAAUAUUGCACAAUGGGCGGAAGCCUGAUGCAGCAACGCCGCGUGCGGGAUGACGGCCUUCGGGUUGUAAACCGCUUUCGCCUGUGACGAAGCGUGAGUGACGGUAAUGGGUAAAGAAGCACCGGCUAACUACGUG